rnacentral:rRNA from 1 species
UACGGAGGGGGCUAGCGUUGUUCGGAAUUACUGGGCGUAAAGCGCACGUAGGCGGUUACUCAAGUCAGAGGUGAAAGCCCGGAGCUUAACUCCGGAAUUGCCUUUGAAACUAGGUGACUUGAAUCCAGGAGAGGUGAGUGGAAUUCCGAGUGUAGAGGUGAAAUUCGUAGAUAUUCGGAAGAACACCAGUGGCGAAGGCGACUUACUGGACACAUAUUGACGCUGAGGUGCGAAAGCGUGGGGAGCAAACAGG